CACAACGCAUGGUUUGUGUCUUUUCAUGUGCUUAAGUCUAGCUUAUUGUGCACCACCAUCACCAAUGCCAAUGCUGUGGGCUUGUUUCGUGACAGAAGAUGUCGACUCGUCGUAUUUCAACGCGGCAGUAUGCAGAAUGAAUACAGAUUUCAUUUCUCGCGUGAACAGGUUCACAUUCAGCAUCUGUACCGGGACACUGCCACACCAACCACAGCUUAUUGUGAAGAACUGGAAGUCAACAUAUAGUCUGAGGACAGACUGUUCUCCAAACCUCGACAUUACUAUCACCCAGCAAUCACCUGAAGAUGUGGACUGUGAGAAGAUCGAGGGGGAAGCUCGUUACUAAUUGUCAGCAGUUGACUACCCGUGAGAUGGAACAGGUCACCACAGCAACCAUAGGCAUCGGCCCUUUUGACAAUUAUCAAAGGACUAGCAUCAGACAGGUAAGUAAUUGACUGCGUAAUAUUCAUGUUGUAGCUAGAUGAUUUAAUUAAAUGAUUGAUUUGAGAUCUACUUAUUAUGGUAUCGAAUGCUAAUAAUGCAGUUAUAUCCCUUUAUGAAGCACCAUUAAUUUUAUCUGGAUUAUCUACCCUCCACUUUUCUUGAUACAUUGUUUGUAUAAAUGUUAGUAUUUCACAGAUGUUUGGAUGAUUUAUAUUACAGUAUCGGUUUGUCCGUUUAUUAUAUGCAUGCUCGAGAUAAUAAGCGGGAGUUUGUUUUUAUUGACUUAUUUGAGCAAUUGACUACCCGUGAGAUGGAACAGGUCACCAUAGCAACUGAUGCUGAAUAAGGAACCAUGAACACCGGCCCUUCUAACAAUUAUCAAAGGACUAGCAUCAGACAGCAAUUGACUACCCGUGAGAUGGAACAGGUCACCACAGCAACUGAUGUAGGAUCAAGGACCAUUACCUCUGAUGCUACCACCUCUGAUGCUGGACCGGGAGCCGCCACCUAGAACCGCCCACAGUCUACCAGUACUUGGAUGACUAUAUUAUGUAAUGGUGCUGCAUCAGUGGUCUCUGUGGCAAUCCUUGCCGGAGUGGGUGAGGUUGUGAUCACUAUUUACAGAAAAUGUAAAGGAAGAAGUUUCGAUAGUGGUAGCGAUGGCGAUAUCACACUGUUCGAAAGAAGACAUCAACAGUUCUUCGAGAGGAUGACUACCCAUGUGUCCUCCACAAAAGAGGAUUGAGAUUUUGAUUUUUUUUAUAUACAUCUAAUUAUACAUAUUAAUAUUUUUUUUUUGUUUUUGAGAAAAUACUCAGGAUGAGUAUUUUAAUUUCGCAUACAUGUUCUUAUUAUACAUGUUAUAACAGUGUUAAUUAAUUGUUGUUCUGUGAUAAUUAAUUGUAUUUUAAAUGUGUUAUAUAUGUUUCAAAUGAUACUCAGGGCGAGAUUUUAAUUGUUGUAAAUAUUAUAAUUAUAUUUGUUAUAACUGUGUUAAUUAAUUGUGUUCUGUGAUAAUUAAUUGUAUUUUUAAAAUGUGUUAUGUAUGUUUCAAAUGAUACUCAGGGUGAGAUUUGUAAUUUUGUAUACAUAUCCCAAUUAUACAUGUUAUUGUUGUUCUGAUUAUAAUUCAAAUGUAUCUUUAAUUAAUGUUGAGUGUAC